AUGACAACCAAAAGGUCUUUUCAAUUUCUCUCUCUUCAAUUUUUCUCUGUUCACAUUUCUCUCUCCUCUUUUUAUUAUUUUAUAAAAAAGUUUUUGUAAAAAAAAAUUGUAAAAAAAGUUUUGUUAAAAAAAUUUAAAACCGUAAAAAAAUUUCGUAAAAAAACGUAAAAAUGUUAUAAAACGUGUGUGUAAAAAAAGUUUUUGUAAAAAAAAUUGUAAAAAGUUUUUGUAAAAAAAAAUUGUAAAAAGUUUUUUUGUAAAAAGAAAGUUUAAAACCGUAAAAAAAGCUUUUGUAAAAAAAAGUUUAAAAUCGUAAAAAAAAUUUAAAAAAACGUGUGUGUAAAAAAACGGCGCGUAAAUACGGGGCGUAAAAAACGAGGCAUAAAAAAAGCACGUAAAAAACGAGUUGUAAAAAACGGCGCGUAAAAAUGGGGCGUAAAAAACUGCUCGUAAAAAAAACCGGGUCAUAAAACGACGCGUAAAUACGGGACGUGAAAAAAGGCGUAAAACGGGGCGUAAAAAACGGCUCGUAAAAACGUUUUUUUUAAAUCCUGGCAAAAAUUAUUUUUUGUAAAAAAAAUCAGCGCAUAACAACGGGGCAUAAAAAAUGGCUUGUAAAAAAUCGGGUGAUAAAACGACGGGUAAAUAAGGGGCGUGAAUACGAGGCGUAAAAAUGGCGCGAAAAAACAGGACGUGAAAAACGGCGCAUAAAACCGGGCAUAAAAAACGGUGUGUAAAAAACCUAUCGCAAAAACGACACGUAAAAACAGGGCGUAAAAAAUGGCGCGUAAAAGCGGGGCGUAAAAAACGGCGCGUUAAAAAAUGACACGUAAAACCUGGAGUAAAAAAACGGCGUGUGAAAAAGCCGGGCUUAAAAACGGCGUGAAAAAACGGCCUCUAAAAAUUGUUUUGGUUUAAAAAUCUGGAUCUAAAAUGGUUUUUAAUAAAAAAAUUCUGUUUUAAAAAAAUAAGUAAUAUAAUA
rnacentral:lncRNA from 1 species